AACGAACGCUGGCGGCAGGCCUAACACAUGCAAGUCGAGCGAGGACUUCGGUCCUAGCGGCGGACGGGUGAGUAACGCGUGGGAACGUGCCCUUUGCUUCGGAAUAGCCCUGGGAAACUGGGAGUAAUACCGGAUGAGCCCUUUGGGGGAAAGAUUUAUCGGCGAAGGAUCGGCCCGCGUUGGAUUAGGUAGUUGGUGGGGCAAUGGCCUACCAAGCCGACGAUCCAUAGCUGGUUUGAGAGGAUGAUCAGCCACACUGGGACUGAGACACGGCCCAGACUCCUACGGGAGGCAGCAGUGGGGAAUCUUAGACAAUGGGGGAAACCCUGAUCUAGCCAUGCCGCGUGAGCGAUGAAGGCCUUAGGGUUGUAAAGCUCUUUCAGCUGGGAAGAUAAUGACGGUACCAGCAGAAGAAGCCCCGGCUAACUCCGUG
rnacentral:rRNA from 1 species